CCCAGGGGGACGAGGGGACACAGAGCAGUCUCAGGUUCGGAGAGCCCACGAACAUCCCCGUUUUCUGCUGUGUCUCAGGGGAAGGACUGUCAGGAAUGCAGAUCUUUGGUCCCUUGGCAGAGGGACCCUGGGGAGUGAAAGCAAGGACCUGUCUCAAGGCUUUGAGGGGCUGAACACCUGUGUGGGGAUACAUGAAAGCCAGAGGUUGCCAUUGUCAACCAGCUGCAGGCUGCAGACCAUGGCCAGUCCUUGCCCCUUUGAACCAGCACUGCACAGACUCACUUCCUGACGCCCAUCUGUGCAAAAUCACUUUUGCUGCUGCCUCUGCAAAGGUGUUGAGGGGAAGCUCACCUGGCCAGGGCUGCUGGCACACAGCACUCCCCCGUGCCCUCCCCAGCCUAUUUUUAGGUUGGUUUUCUGGUAAAAU